AAACCACCAAAUGAUUAUCCUAUCUCGCAACGAGUACCUCGAUCAAGCAACAAUGUAGAUAAGUACACGAAGCAAUAAUCCACUACGUACAACAUUCAGCCACCGUAAGCUCGGAAGCCUUCGAGCUAUUCGACCGGUCGUGCAGUAUCGUCGCCUCUCACGCGGUGGCUGGUGAGGUCAAGGAACAUGGCGCGUCGACCGAUCUCAUUUUUCGUUGGCGCUUGGUACGAAACGCGCGCGCGUAUCAGGCGCAAUGGUUGCAAUGCGUCCCUCGGCGCAUGGAUCGCAUCUCGGCCUCGACCGAUGUUAAAUGGCCGCCACGGCGCGCCGGGACGCAAACUAAUGCCUCGCGUCCAGCUCGUACACGUAGCGGCGCGACUGCUACCGAGCUCGGUGCCGGAUUCCGCGGCCCACCGCGUAAUGAAUCCACUUUGCGCCGUGCCGCGUUUCCUUCGACUUUUUCCACUUCCCCCUCCCUCCCCCCUCCCGCCCGAUCGGUCUUUCUUUCUCUCCAUGGCAGGCCACGAACGCCACUUAAUGAAAUGUCACAGGUGUCCUACCGAUCGCCGAGCUAAAUGUCGCCGGCUUCCCAUACCCCGCCUCGGCGAGCAAAGCGAUUUCGACUUUACGCGGAAUGCCGUGAAGAUGACGCCGCAGAUACCGACCGGUACCCUGCUCUCUCUUCCGAACCCGCGAUCCUGGAAUCUUAUCUCGCGUCGACAGUGUGUUUGCGACUCUUGGUAAAUUGUAGGGAGGAGUUGGAUUAUGGAAUUUAUUUAUUUUUUUUUUUCCCCUUUUUGUUUGGGUCGUUUCGAAUCACGUAUAUUUCAAUUAUUCUCGACUGAUUCGUAUAUAUACAGAUGAUGUAACGUUUACUUUUUCCUAUAUAUAUUUGACAUAACCUAUAUCCGGAUUAAAGAUUAUAAAAAAUUGUAAAUAUACUUUGAACUACGCAUAACGGUGCAAUAGAUAAAUAUAUAUUGAUAACAACACAGACUGUCGACUUAACAUGGACAUCAUGAUUCCCGUGAUUCCCAGAAAGUAGUGGAGAAAGCGAUGCUGAAAUGUUUAGAACGCUUACAUACCUUGCAUAUUUUUUAUGUGUAAAACGAACGAGUACGAUACAUCGGUCAGCUUAUUCAGUGAUUUAUAUGUUCAACAACCUCUCCAAUCAUCGCCUCAUCACCAAUGUGCAAAGAAAUCCCGCACUGACAAGUCUAUAGAAAGCAUAUGAUAGAAAUUGCACAACUAGGAUAUAUUCAGUAGGAAAGCGCAUAAAGUGCAGUCGCGUUUCAACUGAGAUCUCGAAAAGAUAGGGAGAGCGACGAUCUAAUUCCUAUUUCGCUGCCCUCUCGAGGCGUAUCGAUGAAUUAUGAUACGCACACUUACGAACCUCCCUUGUUCUGUACACUGAUUCCUAUCGCUACUUCUCGCCGUGCGUCGAUCUAUCGAUCGAUCGAUCGAUUCAACCUCUUUGGAUUUGGUCGGUUUUUCUCGUCCAUCUUCGUGGACUGUUCGAGAGAAACGUCGAAGCCAUCCGUCACCGAUCAUUACGCGCUCGCCGAUUUCAAUGUCCUUGUUAAAAGGGAUUGCUUCGUGCGGUGACCUACGACACGCGGCAAGCUGACGAGAAGAUAGAUGGCGGUGCACGAUUUCGCCGACUGUUCUGCUUAGCACGCAGCCAACUUGUUACGAUUUGUUGCAGCAUGGGAGAACGGUAUCGCAGAGGAAAACCUGCACACGGGAAACGAGACAUCUCUAUCCUAAUAUGUACAAAAUCUAUUAAGACCGUGUUAUGCAAAUUGCGUUGAUUUGCAACAACAAAAAGCUUUCAUGACUCGUCGCUCAAUAUAUCUUAAUUGCUAAAUAAUAAUUGAAUGUCACAUUAAGUCAUUGGAAAAUCGUACAAAUUUAAUUCCAUGGAAACGAAUAAAAAAUGUGUAUAUGUAUAUGGAAUGAAUUACUGAUUAACAAAACAAGGAUGAAAGUCAUGGAAUCAUCAAUAAACAUUGCAAUUUAACUUUCAUGGAGAUGACGGUCGCUUUUGAUUUACUUAACAUGUUUCGUUUAGCAAGAACAAGUUGGUCUCAGUUUAACGGGCCACCUUCGAAUACGUACAAGGUAGAUCUUCUAAGUGACGUACACGGAAAUGUUCUUUACAAAUGGUCUUAAGCAAGUUGUAAACUCGUAAAGCGCAUAAAUUCGAAUGACACUUGGAACAAGUAAGAAAGUCCUUGCGAUUUAAGUUUUUCUCUCUUCGUCGAUUUUUAUUGACAAAACACCUGAAUUCCUUGAAAUCAACUCGAAGUUUAAUCCAACCAGUGGUACACGCGCAUAAUCGCGUUCUCGUUGCUUGUCACGGGGCCCGCUACGUUUCCGUGAGUGCGAUUUACGCCGUGAGCGUGGUCGUCGGUCGAAGCCAGGAUAAGCGGCGUUUUAUGGAGCCCCGUGCGCCGCUCACUCCAUGGCGGAAGGGACGCACUUUGUUCCGCGGCUGCGAAUGUAUCCCCGGGCCUCGAUCCACCCACAAGGAAACACAUGAAGAAAGAGAGAGAUGCCUUGUCGCGGGAAGAAGAUUGUGGUCCAUACGACGCGUCAGUUGGAUUCUCUAUACGGUGUCGCAGUGACAAAAGAACACUAAAGCAAUAUGACUGUCUUUUGAGAAAUAUUAUGCUAACAUUCUAUUUUUUUGCUUUGAGUAAUUGAUUUCAUCAUAUUAUAUUAUAUAUUUAGCAUGAAUUGCGAUUUAUUAUUUUACAAAAUAACAUCGGCUGAUUUAAAACUCGAAAUGGUAAUAAUCUAGUUUAAACUUCAUUUUGUUAACUUUAUUUUGCUAUCCUUAUUCUUGGAAAUAAUAUUUCUUCUUCAUAUAACGGAAUUGUGCUAGUAUACGAUAUCUAAUGCUGAAAUUUAUAGGAAACCAACGUCGCCCAUUUCCGGACACCCUGUAUGAGAGGAUAGGCUGAAAGACAGCAGCGGAGGAGCAGCUAGGCGCAAGAAGGAGUGACGGAGGGAGGCAGAAGAAGAGAGACUCGGCAGGUGAGGUGUCACGAGGCGCGCGAGUAAUAUAUCGUUGUUCGGCCCAUCGUAGGUGGGUGUGCUCAUCCCGUGGUGCUCGGUCUCUGGUAUCUCACCCGUGCCCCUGGCGCUAAGAGAAGAAGAAGGCUAAUGCUGGUAUAAACGCGCCCGAUCACUUUUUUUCCUCGGGCUCUUUCUCCCUCUUACCACCCCCUCCUCUCUCUUUCUCUUUCUGCCUUAUCUUUUUUGACGUUUCUCUUUCUCUUUCAGCAAGAUUGCCAUUAGCAAAUGCCAACGUGAAACGUGCACACCCGCACUCACCUGCCUGCCACUACACCUCGCCGAUAUUUUUCUUUUUGGUACUUUGUAUCACAGAGAUUUAGACAGAUCAUGGAACAGUUAUUAUAUUCUCCUUCUUAGAAUGUUUUAUCUAACAAUUGAGGAGAAAAGUAAAAUUUUUCUCAUUUUUUUUUUAAAACGUUUUUGUUGGAAGAAUAAAUUAGUCUUGCUAGAUUUAUUUAAAAAUUUAAAAAUGCAUAGAACUUGAGAGGACUGUACAGGAUAUUAAUUAAAAAAUAAAUAAGAUGACGCUGUUUCAUUUUAUCUUAUUUUAAUUUAAUAAAUAUGAUUUUAUAUGGCUCGUGGUUUUUUCUAUAGAAUAUAUUAAUAAUAUAACUUGUAGAUACAAAGGGCAGAUGUUCAGCAUAUAAAACACCAUCUAAUUAUAAGAAAAACAACCAACAACUCUUGACACAAUAGUAAUAAGAAAAUUGAUAACACAUUGGAGAAUGAUUGGCCCCAACAAGGAUUCUUGGAAGGCGGGGUCCGCCUUCUAAUUCAUAGGCGGUGUAAUUUGUGCGUCGCCGACUAAUUGGCGGCGUUUCGCGAUUUAUGCUGUGACACCACUCGUAACAUCUGCCCCCGCUGCACAACGCCAUCUCAUCCCUCGGAUGCCCCGAAGGAGCCGCGUGAUACCGGCCAAUCAUACAUAUUAAUGGAACUCACGGGCCAACGCCGAGCCCUGAAAUUGUUCGUGCAAUCGAUUCGAGCCGGUCGAAUCAAGAUGCCAACAUGAGAUAAACCUCUAGUCUAAUGUUUUCCAACCUUUUUCGAGGAUCCAUCCAAAUCCAAAGAGUUUUUACAUUUUACAUUAUUGAAUUAUGUUUUUAGAAUAAAUUUCAAUAGUUUCAAAUUAUAUGAAUUAAAUUUGAUGAAUUAAAGAGUUGAUGUAAAG
rnacentral:lncRNA from 1 species